rnacentral:rRNA from 1 species
UACGGAGGGGGCUAGCGUUGUUCGGAAUUACUGGGCGUAAAGCGUGCGUAGGCGGUGUCCCAAGUCAGAGGUGAAAGCCUGGAGCUCAACUCCAGAACUGCCUUUGAAACUAGGACGCUAGAAUUGCGGAGAGGUGAGUGGAAUUCCGAGUGUAGAGGUGAAAUUCGUAGAUAUUCGGAAGAACACCAGUGGCGAAGGCGGCUCACUGGACGCAUAUUGACGCUGAGGCACGAAAGCGUGGGGAGCAAACAGG